GCAGGUGUAGCUCAGUGGUUUGAGCACCUGCCUCUCAUGUAUGAGGUCCUGGGUUCAAUCCCCAGUACCUCCU
rnacentral:tRNA from 1 species